GGUUGUGGCUCAGUGAUAUAGCACUUUCCUAGCACGGAUGAGGCCCUAGGUUCGAUCCUCAGCACCA
rnacentral:tRNA from 1 species